UGAUCAACGGACAUGAUCCAAAGGAAUUUUGAAACCAGUAACCGGAAGUUUUAAUUAUUGCCAUGCUGUAAACAAAGACAAAGGAAACGUACAAAAUAAAGAAUAACCUUAUCAUGCGUUAAAACUGGUAAGAUAUGACACUAGUUCACAUUUAUAAAUCAUUGUUAUGCUUCUAAAAAUAUCUUGGUUAAUUUGUUUAAUAUAUUCAAACAAUAAAUACGAGUGUAAGCAAGUAUAAUACAAAAAGGGGGAUGAUGAUAAUUUAGUCUGCCUUGAUGUUGUACGUGUGAUGUGUAUGUCCAGUGAACAUUAGAAUUAUACAAACAGGGUUAAACUUAAGGGUUUUUUAUAUUAUUUUAAAGUCUAUAAAUGCAAUCACUUUGUAACCACUGAGCAUGUCUGAAAAGUUCUGUUAUAAGCAUUACAAGUCAGCCCAUUAUUUGCUUUAACAGACAGGGCUAUAUAAGCAAUACUUUAUUUGCUCCAUCGCUGGCUACACAUCUACUUAUCAAGGGAAUCUCAAAUACGCAAUGAUUAUCAAAGCUUUUGCUAUUUGACAAAGCGAGUGUUGUUGCCUCUAUAAUAUAUUGUUUUAUGUUUUUGUAACUUGUACUUUUGUGUUGAGCCCUACAAGUAACAACCUAUCACCCAGCCAGAUAAUUAUUUAUGUGCCGAUCCAAGACAGGAGUUUGAUUCAGUAGUUGCCGGUUCAUUUCUGACAAAUUUGUUUUUUCGUUAAACUUUAUAAAUUAUGCCAUUCCUUUCAUUGUUAGAAUUGUUUAAAUUAUACGCCUUUACAGGACGUAUUAUGGUAAUGUAUACUGUGUCCGUCUGUCGGUCGGCCUGUUUGUUCCUCUAUCUGUUGUCAACAUGUCCGACACUAACUCAAAAAAGCUUUAACCAAUUUGAAUAACACUUUGGGUGGAUUGUUUAUAUACAUGGAGCAGCUGUUCACUUUUAAAUGUUGUGGCCUUUGUAGCUGACUAUUACACUGUGACUUUUUCUAACUUAUAUUUUAUUCAUUUGUUUAUUUUAACUUUUGUAGGAUCAAUUAGACGUUCCAAAAUUUAUGAUAAAUUUUCUGAAAUGCAGAUUAAAAUGGAGAAUGGAAAUGGGGAUUUUAAAGAAGAAUAUAAGCUUAGAAAUGACUACAAAUAUCCUGGAAGAGCAAAUUUUAUGAAG
rnacentral:lncRNA from 1 species